rnacentral:rRNA from 1 species
AUAGGUGAAAGCUCCGGCGGCGUAGGAUAGCUCUGCGGCCUAUCAGGUUGUAGCGAGGGUAACGUCCUCGCUAGCCUACGACGGGUAUGGGUGUUGGGAGACAUCGCCCAGAGAUGGAUUCUGAGACACGAAUCCAGGCCCUACGGGGCGCAGCAGGCGCGAAAACUGCACAAUGUGGGAAACCACGAUGCGGGAAACCCAAGUGCCAGCACUAUGUGUUGGCUGUCCUCGACUGUUUGUAGGUCGGGAAGAAAGAGCUGGGUAAGACGGGUGCCAGCCGCCGCGGUAAUACCCGCAGCUCAAGUGGUGGUCAUUAUUAUUGGGCCUAAAGCGUCCGUAGCUGGCCUGUUAGAUGCCUGGGUAAAUCGAUGCGCUCAACGUAUCGAAUUCCGGGUAGACCGGCAGGCUCGGGACCGGGAGAGGCGUGAGCUACUCGAGGGGUAGGGGUAAAAUCCUGUAAUCCUUCGGGGAGGACCAGUGGCGAAGGCGUCACGCUAGAACGGCUCCGACAGUGAGGGACGAAGCCCUGGGGCGCAAACCGGAUUAGAUACCCGGGUAGUCCAGGGUGUAAACGCUGCAGACUUGGUGUCGCUGAUCCUACGAGGGUUGGCGGUGCCGUAGAGAAGUUGUUUAGUCUGCCGCCUGGGGAGUACGGUCGCAAGACU